rnacentral:lncRNA from 1 species
GGGGCUUGGGUACGGUGGGAUAAACACAAAAAUGGAUAACAAAAGGUUUAGAACUCGGCAUUCAUGUUGUGUGAUUUUUCUUUCUCUUUUUUUUUUCGUGCAUCACUUAAACUCUGGGUGUUAAUUUCACUCUUUUGACUCUUUUUCCACUCAAUUCUUUGCGAGCAUUUUAUAGGUGUUAGAGUCUUAAGUCUCGGCAAGUGCAUU